UUCAACGAUUAUUCACCAUCUAUAAGUAAGGAGUUCUGUUUCUUUCCUACUAAGACUGCUUAUGAUCCCUCUGAGUCCACUUCAAGCAUGUGGAAUUCAGAGGGUGAAGAUCGGAGUUUGGAGCCAACUUUAAAGAAGCGCAAAGCAACUUUUAGAAACAAUGAAGAGGAUGGGCAAUUUUUCUGCCAGCCACCUGGCCAGCCCAACAAGUUUCCUGGUCGAUUUACAGGGCCAGGUUUACUAAAUAUCCUUUCGUAAGCUUCAUGGCAGCCAUCUUUCUCAAAUGAUUGUAAACCAACACAACCUUCACAUACCUGAGAUGACUGUAACAGAAAUAAUCAAAUUUUCAGCCUGCUGUUAAUGUCUUGGAAGCAGAGCUGAUAUAAUGCUACAGGUCAGCAGGAGAGAAAAGAAAGAAGGAAUUGCUGCUGAUCCAAAUAUUGACACUAAAAUGAAGACAAUCUCAGUUGAAGGACAAAAGAAAAACCUCCAGACUGACUACAUUUUGAAGUAAAUUUCUGUACUAAAUAUUGGUUUUCAUAUAGAUAUUUAAGCCCUGAGAACUAAUUGGAUUAAAACAAUUAGCUGUCAUGAUUUCUCUCUGCUUUUGAUCUUUCAA